rnacentral:rRNA from 1 species
UCGGAGGGGGAGUAGCAUGGCAGACGGGUGAGGAGCACGUAUCUAACCUGACACCUGAUGGGGAAUACCGUUGCGAGAGUGGGGAUAAUACCGCAUAGGCUCCUGGCGGGCGACUGCGAGGAGGAAAGCUGGCCUCUGCCUGGCAUGCUGGCGUGAGGUGAGGGGGAUGCGUCCUAUUAGCUAGUUGGUGGGGUAAGGGCCCACCAAUGCGACGAUGGGUCGCUGGUCUGAGAGGAUGAUCAGCCACACUGGGACUGAGAGACGGCCCAGACUCCUACGGGAGGCAGCAGUGGGGAAUUUUGCGCAAUGGGGGGAACCCUGACGCAGCAACGCCGCGUGAGUGACGACGCCCUUCGGGGUGUAAAGCUCUGUUGCCCGGGACGAAGACCUGGGAGGUGAAGAGCCUCGUGGGGCGCCGGUACCGGGUGAGGAAGCCCCGGCUAACUCCGUGCCAGCAGCCGCGGUAAGACGGAGGGGGCGAGCGUUGUUCGGAAUUACUGGGCGUAAAGGGCGCGUAGGCGGCGCAUCAAGUGGAGCGUGAAAGCCCCCGGCUUAACCGGGGAAGGGCGGUGCAAACUGAUGGGCUAGAGUGUCGGAGGGGGAGGCGGAAUUCCUGGUGGAGCGGUGAAAUGCGUAGAGAUCAGGAAGAACGUCGGUGGCGAAGGCGGCCUCCUGGACGCACACUGACGCUGAGGCGCGAGAGCGUGGGGAGCGAACGGGAUUAGAUACCCCGGUAGUCCACGCCGUAAACGAUGGGCACUAGGUGUGGGGAUCGUGAUGAUUGUCGUGCCGGAGCUAACGCAGUAAGUGCCCCGGCUGGGGAGUACGGUCGCCAAGCUUAAACUCGAAGGAAUUGACGGG